CAUGUGGGGAAGGUAAAAACUGUACGAUUUAUGAUGAAUGUGUAAAUGACACGUGUCGACCUAGAGGUAACUGUGUUGGACGAACUGGUAAACUUUGCAAUUCCGAUGGUUCUUCAGGCACUUGUUCGGAUGGUAUUUGUCGCGUACCAUGUGUCGAAGACAAGGAUUGUCCACAUGACCUAUGUCUCGGUGAAUACUGUGCAGUUGUUAAAUGUGGCGAAUCAUAUUGUCGGUUGUAAUCAAACUGGUUUAUGUUGUACAGAGACCAACUUUUAUUAUAUACAAUAAAAUAAAUUGUAAUGUUUAUCGAUUGAUAUAAGGAUUAACAUAAUAAACUAUAUUGUAAUAUUUAACAUAAUAAACUAUAUUGUA